rnacentral:rRNA from 1 species
CGGUAUGCUUAACACAUGCAAGUCGAACGAGAAGGAGCCUUCGGGCUCUGAGUAAAGUGGCGAACGGGUGAGUAACGCGUGAGCAAGCUACCCUUGAGUAGAGGAUAACAUUCCGAAAGGAGUGCUAAUACUCUAUAACAUUAGAGUUGUGCAUACAGCUUUAAUCAAAGAAUGCCUCUUCUUGAAAGCAUAUGCUCGAGGAUGCGCUCGCGUACCAUUAGCUAGUUGGUGAGGUAACGGCUCACCCAAGGUGAGGAUGGUUAGCCGGCCUGAGAGGGUGGACGGCCACACUGGGAUUGAGAUACGGCCCAGACUCCUACGGGAGGCAGCAGUGGGGAAUAUUGCGCAAUGGGGGAAACCCUGACGCAGCAAUACCGCGUAGACGAUGAAGGCCCUUGGGUUGUAAAGUCUUGUUGGGUGGGAAGAAAUGUCACAAGGUAAAUAGUUUUGUGGCUUGACGGUACCACCAAAGAAAGCCCCGACUAACUCCGUG